GUUCGAAACCCAGCCGAGAGUUGGCCACGUCAAGGCAGGAGCCAUGGGGGGUGUUGCAGUGUGGGAUGAGAGUGAGGAGGACAGUGAGGGGCCCUGCAGCACCGUAUGAGAGAGGGAGACUGUGAGACCAACUUAGAAGUUUUCAGCACUAUUUGAGAGAUCAACCGACCAAGACUACAGCCCUGUGUGAGAGGGAUUCAUCUAAGAGACCAGCCCAACAGUCUGCAGCACUGUGUGAGAGAGGGAUUCAUCUAAGAGACCAGCCCAACAGUCUACAGCACUGUGUGAGAGAGGGAUUCAUCUAAGAGACCAGCCCAACAGUCUGCAGCACUGUGUGAGAGAGGGAUUCAUCUAAGAGACCAGCCCAACAGUCUGCAGCGCCGUGUGAGAUAGACCAUCUGAAAGACUGUCUGACAGACUAACCCAGAGGUCUACAGCACUGUGGGACACCAAACGAGCAAUCAGAACAGCAACCAAAUCUCUUGCAUGCUGGCUACUUAAUUAGCAUUUAUGGUCUGUCACGAGACCAACCCAGAGGACUAACAGCACUGUGUGAGAGAGACCAUCAUUUGAGAGACCAACCCAUGAGGUCUGCAGUACUGCGUGAGAGAGAGAAAGAGAGAGAAAAAUAGAUACUGUACUGCGUGAGCGAGAGACUUUGUACUGCAUGUGUGAGAGAUAAUUUGUACUGUGUGUGUGAGAGAUAAUUUGUACUGUGUGUGUGAGAGAUAAUUUGUACUGUGUGUGUGAGAGAUAAUUUGUACGGUGUGUGUGAGAGAUAAUUUGUACUGUCUGUGUGUCAGAUAAUUGGUACUGUGUGUGUGUGAGAGAGAGAGAUAAUCCUGAUCACAGACGGUCUGAGGUCUGCAACAAAAAAAACAAUAACAAUGGUGGUGGGGUGGCCAGUGACGUCGUUUCCCCCCAACUGCAGAUUCCAUCUUUAAGGUCUUCACUGCAGCAUCAUCUGAAAGAUUGACCAGCCUGCAUGACUUAGCAUUACACACAAGACAUCCCUGUAACAGCCCAGUGCCCCUAAAGAGAAUAAAGUGGAUACGAAACAUCCUGAAACAAGAAGAAACGAUUUGGACUCAUUCCAGAUCAGUCGCUCUGACCAAAACAGAGGUCCUGAAAAAAAAGACAUUCAGGAGAAAUGAGAAGAAGUGUGUCCCAAAUGGCACCCAAUUCUCUGUUUACAAGAAACUGUAAUUUUCAGGUAACUGUAAUUUUCAGGUAACUGUAAUUUUCAGGUAAUUGUAAUUUUCAGGUAAUUGUAAUAACACAUUCUAACGUCACAUUUUAUCACAUAGUUGAAUAAAG
ensembl:lncRNA